rnacentral:rRNA from 1 species
AGUCGAGGGGUAGUAUAGCAAUAUAUGAGACCGGCGCACGGGUGCGUAACGCGUAUGCAACCUACCUUUUACAGGGGAAUAGCCCAGAGAAAUUUGGAUUAAUGCCCCAUGGUAUAUGUAAUUCGCAUGUUUUACAUAUUAAAGUUCCAACGGUAAAAGAUGGGCAUGCGUCCUAUUAGCUAGAUGGUAAGGUAACGGCUUACCAUGGCUACGAUAGGUAGGGGUCCUGAGAGGGAGAUCCCCCACACUGGUACUGAGACACGGACCAGACUCCUACGGGAGGCAGCAGUGAGGAAUAUUGGACAAUGGGCGCAAGCCUGAUCCAGCCAUGCCGCGUGCAGGAAGACGCAUCUAUGGUGUGUAAACUGCUUUUGUACGGGAAGAAACACCCCCUCGUGAGGGGGCUUGACGGUACCGUAAGAAUAAGGAUCGGCUAACUCCGUGCCAGCAGCCGCGGUAAUACGGAGGAUCCAAGCGUUAUCCGGAAUCAUUGGGUUUAAAGGGUCCGUAGGCGGUUUGGUAAGUCAGUGGUGAAAGCCCAUCGCUCAACGAUGGAACGGCCAUUGAUACUGCCAGACUUGAAUUAUUGUGAAGUAACUAGAAUAUGUAGUGUAGCGGUGAAAUGCUUAGAUAUUACAUGGAAUACCAAUUGCGAAGGCAGGUUACUAACAAUAUAUUGACGCUGAUGGACGAAAGCGUGGGGAGCGAACAGGAUUAGAUACCCUGGUAGUCCACGCCGUAAACGAUGGAUACUAGCUGUUCGGGGCAACCUGAGUGGCUAAGCGAAAGUGAUAAGUAUCCCACC